rnacentral:tRNA from 1 species
GUAAGUAUAGUUUAACAAAAACUUUAGAUUGUGAGUCUAACAAUAGAAUCUUAACCCUUCUUACUUACC